GUCGUCGCGCGUGAUGCGCCUGAACACAUCCUAAAUUCGCGGCUCUUUCGCCGCUCUUAACUCCAUCCAAACUGCUCCACGUGAAAUAAAUCCUGGUGCUGGUCGACGUGUGCUUGACUUUUCAACUGUCACGAAUUAACAGGCACAGCGGGGACCAGGAUGUGGACUCAGACAUUUCCUGGACCCUCGGCAGCCUGUCAGUGGAGGUUUAAGUUUGGACCCCACUGUAAGUAGGAAGUGAGAUGUAUCAUCAACAAAAGUGUG